rfam:Triticum urartu cultivar G1812 contig119326, whole genome shotgun sequence.
UAGGUAAUCCCUCCGUCCGGAAAUACUUGUCAUCAAAAUGAAUAAAAGGGGAUGUAUCUAGAUGUAUUUUAGUUUUAGAUACAUCCCUUUUUGUCCAUUUCGAUGACAAGCAUUUUCGGACGGAGAGAGUAGUUU